rnacentral:lncRNA from 1 species
CGGGAAGGGGCGGGCUCGGCCGGCUCGGGUGUGCUGUCCGACGGCUGUGCUGAACUUUAUUUAUUAAACAGCAGAGCGGGGUUUUUCCUUUUCUACGCCUCCUAACAUCCUCACGACACUUGAGGCAGCUGUUCAAUAUACGUGUCCCGGCAGAAAAGAAGAGCUAGAAAAGAAGAUACAAUAUUCUUCCUUCAAGACAGCCAGGGUUGUGAAACACUUUUAGAACUGCUUAAAAAAGUAGGAAAAUAUUUGGAUUGGUUGGAGUUGAACCCAGUAAGUGACCCUGCAAAUACCAGAUAAUUGAAGGGCUCUCAGAUGCAAAGGAUAUUCCUUGACCUCUUCUUUUAGCACCUGUUAAAAGGUUUGGAGUUCUGGGAUGUUCUUGAAUCAACCUGCAAAAUGGCCACAGCUUGGAGGACACCUGCCUUUUGCCACCAGCCAUUCAUGUUAAACCACUGCAGCACCAAUGGGGAGCUUUAGCUAAGAAGACACUGCUGGCAGCACUGAGAAUAGUGGAAGUCCUGUAACCACCAUCACACCCUCUGUCAUCUGCGAAAAAUGAAAAUUUUAAGAAGGCUUUUCCUUUAAAACAAAUGUUCAUGAAUGUCACUGCUGCACCUUUGUGAUUUUAAAUUCAAGUUGUAAACAGUCACAGAAUAAAGUUAUGUGUUUUACACAGUUGCCACCAGUUUCAGCUUGUGUUUGAACUUCAUCAGACUAUUCAGAUUAGAAUGGGCAGGUCUCAUCAGACCUGGUUUUCUCUGCAUGUUGGGUAAGAUGAAUGGAAUUCCUCUUAAUUCAUGGAAAACCCCUCAGUAGUUUCUGCAUUUUACCUUAGAGAGAUGAAGGGAAGACACUGACCAAGAAUUGUUGGUGUGAAUUGCUGAUCUGUUAACUGAGAGUUUUAAACAGUUUUAUAUCAGGCUCUUGAAUUAUGAAUUUGCUUGCUGUUGGAUAUUUUUAAUUUUCAACUGCUUUAACUUCUGUUGUAAGUUGAAAUUACAACAGUGGGGAAAUUAAAGGGAAAAAAUGAAAUAAUUAUAAUUAGAAAAGCAGUGAAGUAAAAUAAUGUGAAGAACUGCCUUAAUUUGUAGUUAUAUACAUUCCAAUCAAAUAUCAGAUUUAAACAUUUUUAACAUCCAUUCUAUGAAAAUAACAAGUAUACUUGGACUUAAUACAUACAAAAUAAAUGGCAGUUGCUCUGCCAAAAUAUUUAAUAUUAAGAUUAAAAUAGAUUCAAAAUUAUGGAUUGAAUAUAAACAAACAUGCCAGCAAUACUGAUCUUGAAAUUUUAUGUGGAUUUUUCCAACUUCUGAGAGCGACUAUUGUUUUCCUGCAGAAAAUAGUUUAGAAGUAUGUGAAGUAUAUGUCUGUUACUGAAAGUAACUUUUGUAAUGCAUUAAAUAUAUUAUUACCCACAACCAUAAUAGGUACAGCACCUUUGCAGAAAUGAGUGAAAUUUUAAAAUUAUUGCCAUGUCUUAAAAAUGUGAAGUAGCUUUUGCUUUGUAUUUCUAGUGUGUGACAGCUGUUUUUUCAUAAUAGUAGGAGAAAAUUUCCACUGGUAGUGAAUAGCAGAGAACAUGACUAGUAUGUGUUAUCAGUAUAUCACUGUAAUUAAGUUGUUUUGUUCUUUUUGCAAG